rnacentral:rRNA from 1 species
UACGACGGGGGCUAGCGUUGCUCGGAAUCACUGGGCGUAAAGGGUGCGUAGGCGGGUCUUUAUGUCAGGGGUGAAAUCCUGGAGCUCAACUCCAGAACUGCCUUUGAUACUGAGGAUCUUGAGUUCGGGAGAGGUGAGUGGAACUGCGAGUGUAGAGGUGAAAUUCGUAGAUAUUCGCAAGAACACCAGUGGCGAAGGCGGCUCACUGGCCCGAUACUGACGCUGAGGCACGAAAGCGUGGGGAGCAAACAGG